GUGAUCCUCCUGGUCUCAGCCUCCCGAGUGGCUGGGACCACAGGGGGCAGUCUACAUCCACUGACUGGUUGAUGCAGAAAUCUAAAGACCCUGUCCGCAGCUACAACAGACUGGUUGAUGCAGAAAUCUAAAGACCCUGUCCGCAGCUACAACAUGGAGCCACCCUAAAAAGCUGCCUUGGCUUCAGAGCUACCUGCGGGUUGGCUGAGGUCUUCGUUGAGAUUUCAUUGCAGCCCAACUCCUCCUUUGCCCAGCCUGCUUCCUUUCCUUCCAUUCCACAGGUGGGAAUCCUAGCAGCAGCUCUUGAUCUUCCUGUGCUCCAAUUUUCCUCCCAGAGACUGCUUCCUUGGGUACCCCCUGAGCUGUGGGGCAUACCUCACAAGGAAAAUGGGACAAGUUGAGACUUUAAAGAGGAUGGGGAAGAAGUCAAUCAGUGAUGAAGGGAGGGGCGGAAGGAUUGGACAUGGGAGGUGUCCCAAGAGAGGAAAGCAGCAUGAGUGAAACAUAGCCUAAGGCCCAUUAGGAACAGGAGAGCCACAGAAAUGGGCUACGUCACAGAAUGAGGAGGGAGUAGUGGGAUAUUGCUGAGGAAGUAGUUUGUGGAAGGUAUUAAGGUCCCCAAAUAAAGAGUUUGAACUUGGUUGGAAAGUUAACGUCAGGCUCAUCACACUAACAUUAGUUGGCUCAGUCAGCAAUACCCAUUCAGCACUGGCGAGGCUCUGGUGAGCAAAGACAGACCUGGUCCCAGUCCGCCAGGAUCUUACAGUCUCAUAGAGUAGCUAGACAUAACUCAAUCACACGAAUGCCAAAUUUGCACACACACACUAAAUUAUAGGGGCUCAAA
rnacentral:lncRNA from 1 species